GUCAGGAUGGCCGAGCCGUCUAAGGCGCUGCGUUCAGGUGGCAGUCCUCUUUUUUGUGGGCGUGGGUUCGAAUCCCACUUCUGACA